rnacentral:rRNA from 1 species
GAGUUUGAUCCUGGCUCAGGACGAACGCUGGCGGCGCGCUUAACACAUGCAAGUCGAGCGAGAACCAGUCCUUCGGGACUGGGGACAGCGGCGAACGGGUGGAGUAACACGUGAGUAAUCAACCCUCGGUACCGGGAUAGCCCGGGGAAACUCGGAUUAAUACCGGAUGGCCCAUCCGCUUUUCGGAGCGGUUGGAAAAGGUAGCUUCGGCCUCCGACCGGGGACGAGCUCGCGGCGGAUUAGCUUGUUGGCGGGGUAACGCCCACCAAGGCGACGAUCCGUAGCUGGUCUGAGAGGACGAUCAGCCACACUGGGACUGAGACACGGCCCAGACUCCUACGGGAGGCAGCAGUGGGGAAUCUUGCGCAAUGGGCGAAAAGCCUGACGCAGCGACGCCGCGUGAGGGAAGAAGGCCUUCGGGUUGUAAACCGUCUUUCAGGAGGGACGAAG